AUGCUACUCCCUUCGUUUGAAAUUACUUGUCGUAGAAAUGGAUGUAUCUAGAUGUAUUUUAGUUUUAGAUACAUCCAUAUUCGAGACAAGUAAUUCCGAACGGAGGGAGUAGAUC
rnacentral:pre_miRNA from 1 species